rnacentral:rRNA from 1 species
AGAACUUAGCAGAGAUGCUUUGGUGCCUUCGGGAACUCUGAGACAGGUGCUGCAUGGCUGUCGUCAGCUCGUGUUGUGAAAUGUUGGGUUAAGUCCCGCAACGAGCGCAACCCUUAUCCUUUGUUGCCAGCGAUUCGGUCGGGAACUCAAAGGAGACUGCCAGUGAUAAACUGGAGGAAGGUGGGGAUGACGUCAAGUCAUCAUGGCCCUUACGAGUAGGGCUACACACGUGCUACAAUGGCGCAUACAAAGAGAAGCGACCUCGCGAGAGCAAGCGGACCUCAUAAAGUGCGUCGUAGUCCGGAUUGGAGUCUGCAACUCGACUCCAUGAAGUCGGAAUCGCUAGUAAUCGUAGAUCAGAAUGCUACGGUGAAUACGUUCCCGGGCCUUGUACACACCGCCCGUCACACCAUGGGAGUGGGUUGCAAAAGAAGUAGGUAGCUUAACUUUCGGGAGGGCGCUUACCACUUUGCGAUUCAUGACUGGGGUGAAGUCGUAACAAGGUAAGCGUAGUGCU